rnacentral:tRNA from 1 species
GGGGGUGCAGCCCAGUGGUAGAGCACGUGCUUGGCAUGCACAAGGCCCUGGGCUCGAUCCCCAGCACCAAUA